UUGCUACUGUGGCUGCUGGCACCUAUCCUUUGCGACUACCGUCAGGAUAUGUUUUAUUACUUAAAGACUGCAAUUAUGUACCUCCUGCUAGCAGAAAUUUGAUUUCUGCACAGGAUGGUUUAAUUUUGACAAAAACUACUGCAUAAUUUAUUUUAGAAAUAAAAUUAUUGGCCGUGGUUUUAUAAUUGACAGUCUUUAUCAUUUACAUAUGGAUGUAUCUACAAAUAUUUCUGAGCAAGUAGUGACUGCUGUUGGGUCUAAGAGACCUAGAGAUGAGAUGAACCUAAAGUAUAUGUGGCACCUCAGGCUUGGUCAUAUUGAAGAAGAAAGGAUCAAUAAAUUGGAUAAAGAUGGGCUUCUCGGCCCAUUGACUUCAGAGUCUUAUCCAGUUUGUGAAUCUUGUCUUCAAGGAAAAUUGACUAAAUUACCCUUUGUAGGACAAGGGGAAAGGGCCACUGAGAUACUUUCCUUGAUACACACUGAUGUGUGUGGGCCAUUUGAUGUGCAUGCUAGGGGAGGUUAUCUCUACUUCAUAACAUUUACCGAUGAUUAUUCACGGUAUGGGUAUGUGUAUCUUGUAAAACACAAGUCUGAGAAUUUUGAAAAGUUCAAAGAAUUCAGAUAUGAAGUAGAAAAACAAACUGAAAAAUCCAUCAAGGUUCUUCGAUCAGAUCGAGGAGGAGAAUACCUUAGUGGAGAGUUCCUAAAUUAUCUCAAAGAAAACGGCAUAGUCUCACAGUGGACUCCUCCGGGAACACCUCAACUCAACGGGGUGUCAGAACGGAGAAACCGAACCUUAUUGGAUAUGGUUCGAUCUAUGAUGAGCUUCACUGAUCUUCCUUUAUUUCUUUGGGGACAUGCUUUGCUUACCGCAGCUUAUUUGUUAAAUAGGGUUCCCUCUAAAUCCGUUCCUACCACGCCGUAUGAGAUGUGGCAUGGUAAGAAACCAAGUCUUGGUCAUAUCAAGAUUUGGGGAUGUCCGGCCUAUGUUAAGCGACUACAGGUGGACAAGUUAGAGGCUAGGUCUGAGAGGGCUCGUUUUAUUGGAUAUCCUAAAGAAACUUUAGGUUACUAUUUUUAUAUCCCAGAGAAUCACAAUAUAGUUGUGAGCAAACAUGCUAUUUUCUUGGAAAAACAGUUUAUUCAAGAAGCUAGUGGGAGAAAAAUUGAGCUCGAAGAGAGAGUCUCUGAAGAGCAACGAGUCAUCAAACCUACAGAACCUAUUCAAGCUGAGCCAGUACAUGUAGUACCUCCUCCACCUCGUAGGUCGAGUAGAAUCUCCCAUCCCACUAAAAGAUACUUAGGUAUCGUUACAGAGGAAGUAGAGGAAAUGUUCCUCAUGGGAGAUAGGGAACAUGGAGAUGAUCCCAAAACCUACAACGAGGCGAUGUCUGACAUCGAUUCCGAGAAAUGGCUGGAUGCCAUGAAGUCAGAAAUUGACUCAAUGCAUUCCAACCAGGUUUGGAUUUUGGUAGACCCACCAGAAGGUAUAGUACCUAUCGGGUGUAAAUGGAUCUACAAAAGAAAGAUAGGUUCGGAUGGAAAGGUAGAGACCUAUAAAGCAAGGCUGGUUGCAAAAGGUUAUAGUCAACGCGAAGGCAUUGACUAUCAGGAGACCUUUUCACCUGUGGCCAUGCUUAAAUCCAUUCGAACACUGCUUGCCCUUGCAGCAUACUAUGAUUAUGAGAUCUGGCAAAUGGAUGUGAAAACUGCCUUCCUAAAUGGAUAUCUUGAGGAAGAUAUCUAUAUGGAGCAGCCUUUGGGUUUCACUUCCGGUGACGAAAGUCACAAAGUAUGCAAGUUGCAACGGUCCAUUUAUGGACUUAAGCAAGCAUCUCGGACUUGGAAUACUCGUUUCGAUAACGUGAUUAAAUCGUUUGAUUUCGUUAAGAAUGAGGAGGAACCAUGUGUUUAUAAGAAGGUCAGUGGGAGAGCUGUCACAUUCCUCGUAUUGUACGUGGAUGACAUUCUCCUAAUUGGGAAUGACAUUCCAAUGCUGACUUCAGUUAAAAUAUGGUUGUCUAAAGAAUUCUCCAUGAAAGAUCUAGGGGAAGCAUCCUAUAUUUUGGGGAUAAAGGUCUAUAGAGAUAGAUCUAAAAGGAUGCUAGGCCUCUCACAGAAAAUGUACAUAGAAGAGGUGCUGAAGAGGUUCGGCAUGGAAAACUCCAAAAGGGGACUUUUACCUCUUAGACAUGGAAUUUAUCUCUCUAAGAAAAUGUGCCCCAAUACAUUUGAAGAGAUUCAACGUAUGAGUAAGAUCCCUUAUGCAUCAGCUAUAGGGAGUCUUAUGUAUGCCAUGCUAUGUACAAGACCUGAUAUCGCGCUUGCUGUGAGUGUCACAAGUAGAUAUCAAUCUAAUCCAGGUGAGGAGCACUGGAUUGCUGUGAAGAACAUACUCAAAUACUUGAGAAGGACUAAGGAUAUGUUCUUGGUCUUUGGAGGAGGAGAGUUGAAAUUACAAGGAUAUACUGAUUCAGACUUUAUGUCUGAUGUUGACGAUAGAAAGUCUACGUCAGGAUGUGUGUUCUUAUGCAAUGGUGGCUCUGUGUAUUGGAAGAGUUCCAAACAACCAAUUAUUGCUGACUCUACUAUGGAAGCAGAAUAUAUCGCCGCAUCUGAAGCUGCAAAGGAAGCCUUCUGGUUCAAGAAAUUUGUCGCAGAACUAGGUGUGAUGCCAUCGGAUGCCAUACCACUAUAUUGCGACAACAAUGGCGCCAUAGCCCUAGCUAAGGAGCCCAGGUCUCAUCAGAAGUCCAAGCACAUAGAGCGGCGGUUUCAUAUUAUACGCGACUACCUCGACAAGAAAUACAUUGAGAUGCAGAGAGUAGACUCCACGGAUAACGUGGCAGACCCAUUGACUAAACCACUUAGCCAGCAGAAGACUGAAGUCCACCUUGAGAAGAUGGGGCUUAGGUAUAUGGCUGAUUGGCUUUAGUGCAAGUGGGAGAUUGUUAGAUGUAUGCCCUAGAAGCCAACCAGGCCGACACAUGUAUUCUUUCUAGGACAUAAUUUUGUAUUUGAUUUUAAAAUAUUAUGAAUAACUUUGGGUUUUUAUUUCCAUUCAUGUUGUGUAUGUGUCCAUGAAUCGUCCAAGGAAUUAAUAAGAUGAUGACAUAUAUUCUCAAGUGUUGAGAAUUUGAGACAUGUGUCAUUGGUGAUUAAUUCCUAAAUGCUCCCGAUCAAUGGAUCAUCACGGGGACGGUGAUUGAUCCGAUGAGAUUGGUGCAUAGGUCGCUUCCCUUUUGGGUAGACGAGUCUCGAGUCGACAGUGUGGGGACACUGAAGCGAAUAUGCAGGUGGUUGUUAGAGAACAAGGGUACCGAGCGUGACCAACGCGAGAAGUCACUUGGAUGUCUACUCACUCGUCAGUGACUUACUCAAUUGUUGCAGUAGUGUGACUGGUCCUUUGACCUGCGGUGCCUCGGCUAUUCACAAUGAGGUUACUGUAGUUUGACUGUACAUACACUUGGUCCCUAGCCAUUCGGGUCCUUGCGGUGCAUGUUGGCUGCAGUAGGUUCAUUGUAGGAAUAGGGUGCGCACUCAGAUGGAAUCUAUCUCCCUUGGUAGAUAGGGGUGUUAGUCCUAUGUGAUUUAUGAGACCGAGUUUAGAAGACCUUGGCCAGGGCAGAAUAAAUAGCGGAAAAGGGUUUCCGAUAUUAGAAACUCGAGUCGAAUAAAUUUAACAUAUGACAGACGAUGGGGUUUGACGAGUUAUUCCAUAACCUCCGUCUAGUCGGGACUCAUGAUAGAAGGAUUGUAUCACACGGUAACUGCACCAAGAGGUUCAGUAUUCCAUUCUACUGGAAUGCCACUACAUGCUGCUAGGCGUCACUGGUGGAUUGUGAGACUCAUGAGAAUUAUCUAGAUGAUCGAUAAUUCUCAUUGGGCUGAGUUGGAAUUGUUCCGAUCCACUGAAAGGAGUUUCAGUGAUAUUGUUGAUAGUGAUCAAAAUAUAUCUCACUACCAGAUAGAAUAGAACCUAUGGGGUCACACACAUAAGAGGUUGUGAUUGAUCGGAUAGCUAGAUCGCGAUUAUUGAAUCGCCGGAGGACCUAAUUGUCAAUAUGUUGAUAAUUGGACUAAUUUGUAAUUGUUACAAAUUAGUGGUAUUAAAGUGUAAAUGUUACAAGAGAGGACUUACUAAUAGUUAGUAAAUUAUAAGAGGACUUAUGUGCAAAUGUUGCAUUAUUAAUUUGAUAAGAUCAAAUUAAUAUAAAAUUCAAGUCGAAUCAAAUUAGGAUUUGAUCGAUCUAACCAAUUAAGGAAAAGAUAAAUUUAAAUCUAGAUUUAUACUUAUCCUUAAUUGUCAUUAUAUUAUUAGGAAUAGGAUUAUAUUCCUAUAUAUAAUAUACGGGAGUUUUUAGAAAACCCUAGCCGUCAUCUAUCCUCUCUUCUCUCUUCCAUCUUCUAGCAAGAAAGACGUCCUUUUGCAAGGGAGCUAGCACCCCGGUGAGGACAUCGAUCAAAUCAAGAACCUCGUGUGGAUACCUAUAGAGGCCGGACGCGUGUGCGGCUUCAAGAGAACCCGAUUCCACGAUCAUCAAAUUGAGGCAAGGAUUUAUCCGCGAAAAAGGUAAUGAUUCGAUCUUACUUUUCUCCUUUAAUCUUAAAGAACAUGAGGGAUCCUAAUUGCGUGGUUUUUGAGAUUAGAUCUCGAGAGUUUUCAAAAAUCAAAUUUGUUUGAUUUCUUUUUCCGCUGCGUUUUUACCGUACGCAAUUUUCUAACAGUGGUAUCAGAGCCAUCCUCAUGUUUUUAAGAUUAAAAUUAUGAUUUUGGGUAUUCUAAACCGUUUUUCGCCGAUCGAACGAUUUAUAGAUCGUUGUUUGGAUGAUUCGUAAAAUCAAAUUGAUCGAACAAUUUAAUCCACGGUUUCUCGUUUUCAAAAACAAAAACAACAAAAAAUAAAAAAAAAUAAAAAAAAUAAAAAUACUGUAGCACCGUACGGAUGCACUGUAGCAGUCCGUACGGAUUUUACUGUAGCAGUCCGUACGGACGCUACUGUAGCAUCCGUACGGAAAUCAAAAAAAUUUUUUUUUUUCUAACCCAAAAGAAAAGGAUCUAAUUUGAUUAGAUCAAAUUUAAAUUUUGAUGAGAUCAAAUUGUUUUUGAAGAUUAAAUUUUUGAUCAAAAUUAUAAAGAUCAAUAAGAUUGAUUGUUAUUAGUGAUUAAGUCACUAUUAUUUUUCGAAUCAUCUUUUAACGGUUAAUUAGAAUAUCCAAAUUUAUUAUUAUAUGUGUGAUGUAUGAGAUACAUAUCGGUGAUGAUCAUGGAUAGCGACCUAUUUAUAUUUCGACAUGUGAUGUAUGAUGUGUAUGCAGAAUCCUGUAAUUUUAAAUUUGUUUAAAUUAAGGACUUUGUAUUAGAGAUGGCUAUAUUUGUGCCUGCGUGCACAAGCCGAUUUAUUUGGAGAUCUGCGUGUCUCAAUAGGUUAGAGAUAAAAGUUAUCAAAUGUAAUUAAUUUUUUUUUAUUUCACUUUUAUUAUUGGGUUGUAUAAUGUAUGGUUGCACGUCACUGGUUGAUCGGUUGCAAGCCUAAAAGUUCGCAAGGCCCGGAUAGAGAUGAAUACUUGAUGGCGGUCGGAUCAAGCUGUUGAUAAGGAUCAAAUCAAGUUGAAGCUCCAGAUCGGAUCAAGAAGUUGAAGACGAUCAAACCAAUGACGUGUGUGUGCUUGUAAUUUAUGACCCUAAGACCCCGAUUCCGACUCAGUGGCUCGAGUCCGAAUCCACUUCUAAGAUCCAUGAUCAUCACCAGUUUAAUUAUGUUUGUUUGCGCGGAUUGAUUUUUUAUUUUAUUUGCAUUAGAUGUAAAUAAAUAAAAUAUUUUUUGAGACCUAAAUAAAUCUCCUCAUAAAUAUUAAGUCGAGCGGUCUUCCGCCGUUGUAGAAGUGCGGGCGCUUUUCUGGUGUUGAUUGGCACGGCUGGUUACAGUGGUCAGUUGCAUCGGGAAUUCGCAACCACUCUAUUAGCAUGAGAUGCUGCGGAGUAAAGAUGGGGUUGGGCCCAAUAACUGUCAGGUGAGGGACCCAAUGACGGCUUUGCUUACGCGUUUGAACGGUGGGUCUGACUUAACUAAGGAAUGGGGCCAAUAACUGUCAGGUGAGGCCUACAGGACUUAGAGACCGAUCACUGCAAUUUGCUUGAGAAGCAUUGGACAAGAGUUGUCCACUCAUCGGUUUGCAUAUCACCAAUAACUGUUAGGUGAGGUGGUACGUUAAAUUGGUGGGACCGCAGUACCCACUUGAAACCUUUUGUCGCGUUGGGUUUCCGUUUCUCUACCCGAGGAGUGUAAGAGACUCGAGAAAAUAGUGGGAGGCUAAAUUUGUUUUUAAAAUCCCUAAAACAAUUUUUCAAAACAAAUACAAAUAUCUAACUUGAAUCUUUACUCUCUGCAAAGUAAAUGUCUGCUUCCAAUUAUCUCUCUCGUAUUCUCGACACAAAAUCCUUAACUGAAAUUAAUUAUAAAGACUGGCUAAGGAAUUUAAAAAUAGUUUUAAAUUCCAAUAAGCUCUGCAUUGUUCUCGACCAGGUAAACCUCACGUUGCCAAACCGUCCAAUAACUAACAGAAGGGCAGUCCGUUCAUGAUCAUUGUUUGACAAUGAUCAUAGACCUCGAGGAGCUUGAGAAGCUUGGCGUAAAAUGGAUAAGGAAUUGCAAGUUGAUCUGAUCCUGCAAUCCCUUCCUGUAUCAUAUGGACAGUUUAUUGUAAACUACCAUAUGAAUAAAAUUGACUGCACCAAUGCAGAGUUAUUGAACAUGUUGGUAAUAAUAGAGGGGACUUUUGAAAAGUUCAAAGGGAACGGUUCACGUUGUGGAGCGAGCUUCCUCUUCUAAAAGAAAGUCUAAUUGGAAGAAGAAACCCGCGAAGAAACAAAAGACGGAAAACAAGCCCAAGAAGGAAGCUCCUAAGAAAAGGGCCGCUAAUAAAGGAAAAUGUUUCCACUGCAAUGUUGACGGUCAUUGUGAGAGGAACUGUCCUUUCUACCUGGAGAGCCUAAAGAAUAAGAGGAAGGACACACCUUCGGAAGGUAUGUCAGACUUGCUCGUAAUAGAAACUAACGGUUUCCUCUACUUCCAGAAAGAGAAAGUAGAGGGCUUAGGGAAGGUGAAGUGACCCUACGGGUAGGCAACGGGGCAAGAGUUGCUACUGUGGCUGCUGGCACCUAUCCUUUGCGACUACCGUCAGGAUAUGUUUUAUUACUUAAAGACUGCAAUUAUGUACCUCCUGCUAGCAGAAAUUUGAUUUCUGCACAGGAUGGUUUAAUUUUGACAAAAACUACUGCAUAAUUUAUUUUAGAAAUAAAAUUAUUGGCCGUGGUUUUAUAAUUGACAGUCUUUAUCAUUUACAUAUGGAUGUAUCUACAAAUAUUUCUGAGCAAGUAGUGACUGCUGUUGGGUCUAAGAGACCUAGAGAUGAGAUGA
rnacentral:lncRNA from 1 species